GACGAACGCUGGCGGCGUGCUUAACACAUGCAAGUCGAACGGAAAGGCCCUGCUUGCAGGGUGCUCGAGUGGCGAACGGGUGAGUAACACGUGGGUGAUCUGCCCCUUACUUUGGGAUAAGCCUGGGAAACUGGGUCUAAUACUGGAUAGGACCAUGCUGUAGGUGGUGUGGUGGAAAGACUAGUUUCGGUAAGGGAUGAGCUCGCGGCCUAUCAGCUUGUUGGUGGGGUAAUGGCCUACCAAGGCGUCGACGGGUAGCCGGCCUGAGAGGGUGGACGGCCACAUUGGGACUGAGAUACGGCCCAGACUCCUACGGGAGGCAGCAGUGGGGAAUAUUGCACAAUGGGCGCAAGCCUGAUGCAGCGACGCCGCGUGGGGGAUGACGGCCUUCGGGUUGUAAACUCCUUUCAGCCAUGACGAAGCCCUUGUGGUGACGGUAGUGGUAGAAGAAGCACCGGCUAACUACGUG
rnacentral:rRNA from 1 species